GAUGAACGCUAGCGGGAGGCCUAACACAUGCAAGCCGAGCGGUAGAGAUCUUUCGGGAUCUUGAGAGCGGCGUACGGGUGCGGAACACGUGUGCAACCUGCCUUUAUCUGGGGGAUAGCCUUUCGAAAGGAAGAUUAAUACCCCAUAAUAUACUGAAUGGCAUCAUUCGGUAUUGAAAACUCCGGUGGAUAGAGAUGGGCACGCGCAAGAUUAGAUAGUUGGUGAGGUAACGGCUCACCAAGUCUACGAUCUUUAGGGGGCCUGAGAGGGUGAUCCCCCACACUGGUACUGAGACACGGACCAGACUCCUACGGGAGGCAGCAGUGAGGAAUAUUGGACAAUGGGUGAGAGCCUGAUCCAGCCAUCCCGCGUGAAGGACGACGGCCCUAUGGGUUGUAAACUUCUUUUGUAUAGGGAUAAACCUACCCUCGUGAGGGUAGCUGAAGGUACUAUACGAAUAAGCACCGGCUAACUCCGUGCCAGCAGCCGCGGUAAUACGGAGGGUGCAAGCGUUAUCCGGAUUUAUUGGGUUUAAAGGGUCCGUANGCGGAUCUGUAAGUCAGUGGUGAAAUCUCACAGCUUAACUGUGAAACUGCCAUUGAUACUGCAGGUCUUGAGUGUUGUUGAANUA
rnacentral:rRNA from 1 species